UACGAAGGGGGCUAGCGUUGCUCGGAAUCACUGGGCGUAAAGCGCACGUAGGCGGUUCUUUAAGUCAGGGGUGAAAUCCUGGAGCUCAACUCCAGAACUGCCUUUGAUACUGGGGAUCUCGAGUCCGGAAGAGGUGAGUGGAACUCCGAGUGUAGAGGUGAAAUACGUAGAUAUCUGGAGGAACACCGGUGGCGAAGGCGGCUACCUGGCCCAACAUUGACGCUGAGACCCGAAAGCAUGGGGAUCAAACAGG
rnacentral:rRNA from 1 species